rnacentral:tRNA from 1 species
GGGUGAAAAAUGGCGAUAUGGACACAAAAGUGAUGGACACUCAGGUACAUUUCUCGUCCUGAACCAUCUGCCCUUACAAGGCAGAAGUCACAAGUUCGAGUCUUGUAGCGCCCA